rnacentral:ncRNA from 1 species
CUAGGCUGCCCCGGUCGCUGCAAAAUCAGCGGCCGGGACUGCAAGCCCGAACA